AGGUGUUACAGCUGUUUUAGAAUUUGUCUAGCAGGUUUUCUACUUUUUACCAGAAAACCUCA
ensembl:snRNA U7 U7 small nuclear RNA